rnacentral:rRNA from 1 species
ACAACGAAGAGUUUGAUCCUGGCUCAGGAUGAACGCUAGCGACAGGCUUAACACAUGCAAGUCGAGGGGCAGCGGGGAAGUAGCAAUACUUCUGCCGGCGACCGGCGCACGGGUGAGUAACACGUAUGCAACCUGCCCUUGUCAGUGGGAUAAUC